rnacentral:lncRNA from 1 species
UGUGCUCCCCUUUGUACUUAUUCUUAAAAUUCUUGCCAAAAAUUCUGCAUUUAAGUCAAUCCAAACUCCUCUAAUCUCAGUGUCAAUGAUUCCAUGUCCCGAUUUUAAGUUAGCAUAGAAUUCUCUUACAAGGUUGGGAUAGGUUAAUACAUUAAGUAAGCAAAAGAAUUACCAACCCAAGGAUUUGAAUUUCUAUCUUAUUGAGAAACUCUCUAUUUUCAAGAAUCCAAACUCUACAUUUCUCCCCAUACAUACAACCCU